rnacentral:rRNA from 1 species
UACAGAGGUGGCAAGCGUUGUUCGGAAUUACUGGGCGUAAAGGGCGCGUAGGCGGCCAUCUAAGUCAGACGUGAAAUCCCCCGGCUUAACCUGGGAACUGCGUCUGAUACUGGACGGCUUGAGUUUGGGAGAGGGAUGCAGAAUUCCAGGUGUAGCGGUGAAAUGCGUAGAUAUCUGGAGGAAUACCGGUGGCGAAGGCGGCAUCCUGGACUAAUACUGACGCUGAGGCGCGAAAGCUAGGGGAGCAAACGGG